rnacentral:rRNA from 1 species
GUGAAAUUGUUGAAAGGGAAACGUUUGACACCAGUUAUGCGGGUGGAAAAUCAGUCUUUUGCAAUGGGGAGUUGUGGGCGUUCAGACCGCAAGGCUGGCGUUUGCUUCAUCUUUGUUGUAAGUGAUGCACUUUUUCAUUUGCAGGUCAACAUCAGUUUGCUUUGCUGGACAAAACCCCAAGGGAAGGUGACAGCUUAGGCUGUGUUAUAGCCCUGGGGCGAUACAGUGGAGUGGACUGAGGUUUCGCAGUGUGUGCUCUCGGGCAAGGCUGACUGGGUGCUAUGGGAUCGUUCGGCGUACAAUGCAUGCAUUUUGCGUCGUGUCUUUUUCAUACUCGCUCAACUCGGCUCUUCCACACUUAGGAUGUUGACUUAAUGGUUUUAAACGACCCGUCUUGAAACACGGACCAAGGAGUCUAACAUAUGUGCAAGUGUUUGGGUGGCAAACCCAUGCGCGUAAUGAAAGUGAACGUAGGUGCGAUCCGCAAGGUGCAGCAUCGACCGAUCUUGAUAUUUUUGGAUAGAUUUGAGUAAGAGCAUAUAUGCUGGGACCCGAAAGAUGG